rnacentral:rRNA from 1 species
AGCGCGGCGACGUGUUGAGCUAACCCAUACUAAUUACCCGUGAGGCUUAACCAUACAACACCCAAGAAGUGUU